rnacentral:rRNA from 1 species
GCUGGCGGCGUGCCUAACACAUGCAAGUCGAGCGCGAAAGGGGGGGCAACUCCCCGAGUAGAGCGGCGCACGGGUGAGUAACGCGUGGGUAACCUACCUCCGGGCGGGGGAUAACCACUCGAAAGGGUGGCUAAUACCGCAUGAGACCACGGGGUCCUCGGAUCCUGGGGUUAAAGGCGGCACCGGCUUGCCGGUGCUGUCACCUGAUGAUGGGCCCGCGUACGAUUAGCUAGUUGGUAGGGUAACGGCCUACCAAGGCUGCGAUCGUUAGCUGGUCUGAGAGGAUGACCAGCCACACUGGAACUGGAACACGGUCCAGACUCCUACGGGAGGCAGCAGUGAGGAAUAUUGCGCAAUGGGGGAAACCCUGACGCAGCAACGCCGCGUGGGUGAAGAAGGCCUUCGGGUCGUAAAGCCCUUUCGGACGGGACGAACGCUCCGCGGGGAUAAUCCGCGGAGUCUGACGGUACCGUAGGAAGAAGCACCGGCUAACUCCGUGCCAGCAGCCGCGGUAAUACGGAGGGUGCAAGCGUUGUUCGGAAUUACUGGGCGUAAAGCGCGUGUAGGCGGCCUGGUAAGUCAGAUGUGAAAGCCCUC